AGGGAAGAUGGAAAGAUUGAGGACUUGGAGAUAGAGAAGCUAAAUUAGCCUUAAUGAAAUAUAAUGGAUAUAGAAACCAGGGUAUCCUAAUAUGUAGUUCCACACAAUCAGAUCUGGAAAUUAAAAGAGUAAAAAUUGCUAUGUAAAAUUUCAUUACUUGUUUGAAUGGGAAAGAAACAAAGUCAUUACUUGCCAGUAUGAAACCUUGUUUCAGGAAAAGGGCUGUGUGCCUUCACAGAAAUCUAACUCUUUGGAAUGCUGACAGCUGGGAGGACACGAGGAAAUUUUUACUUCUCUCACCAAUGCUGCCGAGAAGUUUUUACUUCUCUCACCAAUGCCGCCGACUCAGCACUCCUGGAACUGCUCCAUGUUUGCCACAGUGCUGAUUGCUGCCUCAGAUCUAUUCCUUGCUGUUCCCCUGCUUGAAGGGCUGAUACCUGUAGGCUGUUUCCCAGGCUUAUGUGUCAGUGGGCUUCAGACUGUGUGUGGCCAGUGGGAAGACCUGCAGCAGACUGAGCGGUGACAGAAAUGAAGUUGGUGUCAGAAGCGGGAUCCGAAGUGGAACUUCUAGCAGCCCCCCAGGACCACUGCAUGACCCACUUGUGUCCAUUGAUCUCUCAGAGCAGUUGGGGAUCCUGGGACAAUCCCUUCAUGAUCUAGAGCCUGAAGGUAGGAUCUUCUGAGAACAUCAGAAAAAGACUAUCUCUACCAUCCACACUACAGCAAAACUUUGGAGCCUUGAACCUUGGGUUCAUAAUCUCACAAUGGAGAAGGGUCCCUCCACACUCCUAGAACUGUACAUACAUUGGAACCCUUAAGGUAAAACUAACCAGGAAAGUUUCUCCCCAGAAGAAGAUGGCAUCCUUGAUGUAAACUGCUUUUCCCAAGAUCACUAAUCAAGACUUCUACUAUUGAGAGACUUAUCUUUGAAUAUAUUUUCCUUGUUUAUGUCUCUGAACAAUAGAAAUGAAAAGGGGGUCUAUUAUGUGCAUUUAUUUAUAGGGUGUAUUUUUAUUUGUGAGGGAUUUUGCAGCCAGCCUUACACAUGAAUUACCAUAUACUUUAAUAGAUAAAAGAUGAAGGCCCAAUGUAGGUGAGAAACUUUGGGGGUACAUAUGUUGCCUCAUAAUCAGUCAAAACACCUCUUAACCCACAUCAUGGAUUAGAGAGAACCUUGCCAGGAGACCUUCACUCUUCUAGAAGGACAUCAUUUGUUAGGUCCUUUUUUCAUGGUUUAGAAUAAAAUAGGCAAUAAUUAGAAAUGUCACCCUCACAAUAAGCUCUAGUAGAAUUUACACAUCAAUACAUCAAUACACAGACAACAGACUUUAAAUUCUCUUGUGAAAGAUAUGCUAAAUAAUAGAAUUGGCUAAACAUAAAAGUACUUGCACAGCUACUGACAGUUGUGGCCUAUGGAGAAGUACAUCAAAUGUAAAUUAUACAAUUUCAGUUGCGGAGGAUUAAUGAAAAGACCACUUAGUCAAGCGAGUAGACUCUUCAUCUAGCUCAUUCUUUAAUCUAUUUAAUUUUAUGUGGUUUGGUUUAUGGGGACCCUUGGUAAGGAGCAUACUCCGAACUCUUGCAUUAUCCUCCCAAUAGUUAUAAUAAUAGUCUCUCUGGGGCACUGUACUCUCUCAAAGGUUUUAAAUGUUUGCAAGCAGCCAUCUCUAGAAUGUCAAAUGGUUUCUUUUCAACUGGAAUGACAAAAGCUGAAAGAAAUGUGUGACCAUGAGGACACCAUAACCUAUGAAUCACAUGCUUAGACCAGAAACCCAAAAUGAUGGUAACUGAGAGUGGCGCUAAGGCCCUAAGUUUUGGUCACACUCUCACCUACGUGAGAACUUGGCCAAGGCCAAAAGGGUUUUUUUUUUUUUUUGGACAGAGUUUCACUCUUGUUGCCCAGGCGGGAGUGCAAUGGCACAACCUCCGCUCACCACAACCUCUGCCUCCAGGCUCAAGCAAAUCUCUUACCUCAGCCUCCUGAGUAUCUGGGAUUACAGGCAUCCACCACCAUGACUGGCUAAAUUUGUAUUUUUGAUAGAGACAGGGUUUCUCCAUGUUGGUCAGGCUGGUCUCGAACUCCCGACCUCAGGUGAUCCACCCUCCUCGGCCUCCCAAAGUGUUGGGAUUACAGGCUUGAGCUACCGUGCCAGGUCGGGGAUUUUUUUUUGUAAACAAAAUUAUGGGAGACCAUUAUUUUGGACUGAGCUCAUACACUAGACCCCAACAAACCAAACCAAACUAAAAUGGAGUCACUCAUGCUAAAUGUGACAUAAUCAAACUAAGGCUUUAAGAAAACACAUAGAUUCUAGAACAGACCAGGUUUUGUUUUUCUCCUGUAAACAGGAUGUUCCAGCAUAAGGAGGUACCCUCUACUCAGUCCUUAUUCCCUUCUUUCAAAACCCACUGUUCUACUGUUUCCCAGUGGAUUUCAAAACCAUUUAAGUACAUUUACGAUAGUGAUAGUAACAUCAAUGGCCAAGAUUUUGGUCAAUCUCUCAAAACCGAGAAAAUGACAAAAGGAGGGAAUUGUUAAAGCAAACUAAAUAUGGUCUGAGAAGGACCCCAUACUUCCAUAUUUGAGUCUUUGUGGAUGAACUGUAACCUAACUUAAUAGUCAGAUAAAAUUGAAAACCUAACUUAAUAGUAUGCACCUGUAACAAUGACUGAGUGUUGGCCAAUCCCAGUGGCCAUACUUCAACCACUGAUAGACUGCUGAAUGUUCAAACUGUGUUCAAAUAGGGCAAAUGCCGAGUUGUAACCUAUCUUACUGUUUCUGUCCCUCACUUCCGAUUCCUGUAUGUCAUUUUACCUUUUUUGUCUAUAAAUUUGUUCUGACCACAAGGCACCCCUGGAAUCUCUGUGAAUCUGCUGUGAUUCUGAGGGCUGCCGAAUUCAUGAAUUGUUCAUUGCUCAAUUAAACUAUUUUAAAUUUAAUU
rnacentral:lncRNA from 1 species